CAGUAGCCGCGGUAAUACGUAGGGUGCAAGCGUUAAUCGGAAUUACUGGGCGUAAAGCGUGCGCAGGCGGUUAUAUAAGUCAGAUGUGAAAUCCCCGGGCUCAACCUGGGAACUGCAUUUGAGACUGUAUGGCUAGAGUGUGUCAGAGGGGGGUAGAAUUCCACGUGUAGCAGUGAAAUGCGUAGAUAUGUGGAGGAAUACCGAUGGCGAAGGCAGCCCCCUGGGAUAACACUGACGCUCAUGCACGAAAGCGUGGGGAGCAAACAGGAUUAGAUACCCCAGUAGUCCCUGUCUCUUAUAC
rnacentral:rRNA from 1 species